CACGUAGGGCGCAAGCGUUGUCCGGAAUCACUGGGCGUAAAGCGCACGUAGGCGGAUCUUUAAGUCAGAGGUGAAAUCCCAAGGCUCAACCUUGGAACUGCCUUUGAUACUGGGGAUCUCGAGUCCGGAAGAGGUUGGUGGAACUGCGAGUGUAGAGGUGAAAUUCGUAGAUAUUCGCAAGAACACCAGUGGCGAAGGCGGCCAACUGGUCCGGCACUGACGCUGAGGUGCGAAAGCGUGGGGAGCAAACAGG
rnacentral:rRNA from 1 species